rnacentral:misc_RNA from 1 species
CGGGCAGCUCGGCUUCAGCGUAAUAAGAUGAUGAGGGAGCAGAAAAGAGAUGCUCUUUUGAAAGAGAAAAGAGCUUCAUCUGGAUCAAAUAGUCCGCCCAGAGUUAUUGUUCUGUUUGGCCUAUCCCGAUCAGUCGACCUUAGUGCGCUUGAACAAGAUCUCCUGAAGCUAUUGUCCGCAGAUGGAACUGUUGUUGUGUAUCCAGCAGUUGCUUCCUCAGAAUAUAAGUUGAGAGCAACGGUUUUAAAAGCACCUCAUG